rnacentral:rRNA from 1 species
CCUACGGGAGGCAGCAGUGGGGAAUAUUGCGCAAUGGGCGAAAGCCUGACGCAGCGACGCCGCGUGAGGGAUGAAGGUCUUCGGAUCGUAAACCUCUGUCAGCAGGGAAGAACGGUCACUGUGCUAAUCAGCAGUGAAUUGACGGUACCUGCAAAGGAAGCACCGGCUAACUCCGUGCCCGCAGCCGCGGUAAUACGGAAGGGGCGAGCGUUAAUCGGAAUUACUGGGCGUAAAGGGCUCGUAGGCGGUAUGUCAAGUCAAGGGUGAAAUCCCCGCGCUCAACGUGGGAACUGCCUUUGAAACUGGCAAACUGGAGUGUGCGAGAGGAUAGUGGAAUGCCAGGUGUAGGAGUGAAAUCCGUAGAUAUCUGGAGGAACAUCAGUGGCGAAGGCGACUAUCUGGCACAUAACUGACGCUGAGGAGCGAAAGCGUGGGUAGCAAACAGGAUUAGAUACCCCAGUAGUC